rnacentral:rRNA from 1 species
GAGUUUGAUCCUGGCUCAGGAUGAACGCUAGCUACAGGCUUAACACAUGCAAGUCGAUGGGCAUCAUGGUAUUAGCUUGCUAAUACUGAUGGCGACCGGCGCACGGGUGAGUAACACGUAUCCAACCUGGCUUUCACUCAGGGAUAGCCCAUCGAAAGAUGGAUUAAUACUUGAUGGUAUAUACAUUUCGCAUGUUUUGUAUAUUAAAGAUUUAUCGGUGAUAGAUGGGGAUGCGUACCAUUAGUUUGUUGGCGGGGUAACGGCCCACCAAGACUUCGAUGGUUAGGGGUUCUGAGAGGAAGGUCCCCCACAUUGGAACUGAGACACGGUCCAAACUCCUACGGGAGGCAGCAGUGAGGAAUAUUGGUCAAUGGACGUAAGUCUGAACCAGCCAAGUAGCGUGAAGGAUGACUGCCCUCUGGGUUGUAAACUUCUUUUAUAUGUGAAUAAAUUUUCCUACGUGUAGGUUUUUGCAUGUAACAUAUGAAUAAGCAUCGGCUAACUCCGUGCCAGCAGCCGCGGUAAUACGGAGGAUGCGAGCGUUAUCCGGAUUUAUUGGGUUUAAAGGGAGCGUAGGUGGGUUAUUAAGUCAGCGUUGUGAAAGUUUGCGGCUCAACCGUAAAAUUGCCGUUGAUACUGAUAGUCUUGAGUUCAGUAGAGGUGUGCGGAAUUCGUGGUGUAGCGGUGAAAUGCUUAGAUAUCACGAAGAACUCCAAUUGCGUAGGCAGCUCACUAUACUGUUACUGACACUGAUGCUCGAAAGUGUGGGUAUCAAACAGGAUUAGAUACCCUGGUAGUCCACACAGUAAACGAUGAAUACUCGCUGUUUGCGAUAUAGUGUAAGCGGCCAAGCGAAAGCGUUAAGUAUUCCACCUGGGGAGUACGCCGGCAACGGUGAAACUCAAAGGAAUUGACGGGGGCCCGCACAAGCGGAGGAACAUGUGGUUUAAUUCGAUGAUACGCGAGGAACCUUACCUGGGCUUAAAUAUUAGAUGCAUAACAUAGAGAUAUGUUUUUCUUCGGACUUCUAUUAAGGUGCUGCAUGGUUGUCGUCAGCUCGUGCCGUGAGGUGUCGGCUUAAGUGCCAUAACGAGCGCAACCCUAAUGUUUAGUUACUAACAGUUUAUGCUGAGGACUCUAGACAGACUGCCGUCGUAAGAAGUGAGGAAGGUUAGGAUGACGUCAAAUCAGCACGGCCCUUACGUCCAGGGCUACACACGUGUUACAAUGGGGGGUACAGAAGGUUGCUACACGGCGACGUGAUGCUAAUCCCAAAAACCUCUCUCAGUUCGGAUUGGAGUCUGCAACCCGACUCCAUGAAGCUGGAUUCGCUAGUAAUCGCGCAUCAGCCACGGCGCGGUGAAUACGUUCCCGGGCCUUGUACACACCGCCCGUCAAGCCAUGAAAGCCGGGGGUACCUGAAGUACGUAACCGUAAGGAGCGUCCUAGGGUAAAUCUGGUGAUUGGGGCUAAGUCGUAACAAGGUAGCCGUACCGGAAGGUGCGGCUGGAUCACCUCCUU